rnacentral:rRNA from 1 species
CCUACGGGUGGCAGCAGUGGGGAAUAUUGCGCAAUGGGCGAAAGCCUGACGCAGCGACGCCGCGUGAGGGACGAAGGUCCUCUGAAUGGUAAACUCCGUUAGUAGGGGAGAACGUUCACUGUGCUAUUCAGCAGUGUAUUGACGGUACCUGCAAAGUAAGCACAGGCUAAUUCCGGCCCAGCAGCCGCGGUAAUACGUAGGGCGCUAGCGUUAGUCCGAAUUACUGGGCGUAAAGGGGGCGUAGGUGGUAUGGUAAGUCAAGGGUGAAUUGCGCGACCUCAACGUGGGAACUGCCUUUGGAACUGGGAAACUGGAGUGUGUGAGAGGAAAGUGGAAUUCCAGGGGUAGGAGUGAAAUGCGUAGAUAUCUGGAGGAACAUCAGUGGCGAAGGCGGCUAUCUGGAACAUAACUGACGCUGAGGAGCGAAAGCGUGGGUAGCGAAAAGGAUUAGAUACCCUUGUAGUC